GCCUAGCCGUAAACAAUUAACUCACACCCACACCGCCAGGGGAUUACAAGCAAUGCUUAAAACCCAAAGGAUUUGACGGUGUCCCACCCCACUAGAGGAGCCUGUUCUAUAAUCGAUGAUCCCCGCUUCACCUAACCAUCCCUCGCCUACCAGUCUGUAUACCUCCGUCGAAAGCUUACCAUGUGAACGCCCGCAGUAAGCUUAAUGAUUUCACCAUCAACACGUCAGGUCAAGGUGCAGCUCAAGGGACGGAAAGUAAUGGGCUACAAUUUCUAAUCUAGAACAAACGAAAGACUAUGUGAAACCCUAGUCAUGAAGGUGGAUUUAGUAGUAAAAAGAAAAUAGAGUGUUCUUUUUAACCCGGCUCUGGGACGCGU
rnacentral:rRNA from 1 species